rnacentral:rRNA from 1 species
AUUGAACGCUGGCGGCAGGCCUAACACAUGCAAGUCGAACGAGUGGCGGACGGGUGAGUAAUGUCUGGGAAACUGCCUGAUGGAGGGGGAUAACUACUGGAAACGGUAGCUAAUACCGCAUACCCUCGGAUGUGCCCAGAUGGGAUUGGCUAGUAGGUGGGGUAAAGGCUCACCUGGGCGACGAUCCCUAGCUGGUCUGAGAGGAGGACCAGCAACACUGGAACUAGGACACGGGCCAGACUCCUACGGGAGGCAGAAGUGGGAAAUAUUGGACAAUGGGGGCAAGCCUGAUGCAGCCAUGCCGCGUGUAUGAAGAAGGCCUUCGGGUGGUAAAGUACUUUCAGCGGGGAGGCGUUACCCGCAGAAGAAGCACCGGCUAACUCCGUGCCAGCAGCCGCGGUAAUAC